rnacentral:rRNA from 1 species
AGGAAAAGAAAUCAACCGAGAUUCCCCCAGUAGCGGCGAGCGAACGGGGAGGAGCCCAGAGCCUGAAUCAGCUUGUGUGUUAGUGGAAGCGUCUGGAAAGUCGCACGGUACAGGGUGAAAGUCCCGUACACGAAAACGCACAGGCUGUGAGCUCGAUGAGUAGGGCGGGACACGUGGUAUCCUGUCUGAAUAUGGGGGGACCAUCCUCCAAGGCUAAAUACUCCUGACUGACCGAUAGUGAACCAGUACCGUGAGGGAAAGGCGAAAAGAACC